GCGCCCGUAGCUCAGUUGGAUAGAGCAUCUGACUUCUACUCAGCCUGUCGGCAGUUCGAAUCUGUCCGGGUGCACCA
rnacentral:tRNA from 1 species